GAUGAAGAACGCAGCGAAAUGCGAUAAGUAAUGUGAAUUGCAGAAUUCAGUGAAUCAUCGAAUCUUUGAACGCACAUUGCGCCCAUUAGCAUUCUAGUGGGCAUGCCUGUUCGAGCGUCAUUUCAACCCUUAAGCCCUGUUGCUUAGCGUUGGGAGCCUACAGUACUGUAGCUCCCCAAAGUUAGUGGCGGAGUCGGUUUCACACUCUAGACGUAGUAAUUUUUUCUCGUCUGUAGUUGAGCCGGUCCCCUGCCGUAAAACACCCAAUUUAUCAAGGUUGACCUCGGAUCAGGUAGGAAUACCCGCUGAACUUAAGCAUACAAUAAGCGGAGGA
rnacentral:misc_RNA from 1 species